rnacentral:rRNA from 1 species
GCAAGUCUCCGCACCCCUGUGAGAACGCCCUUAAAUCCCCAAAGGGAUUAGGAGCUGGUAUCAGGCUCGAUUAUCAGCCCACGACACCUAGCCAUGCCACACCCACAAGGGUAUACAGCAGUGAUUAAUAUUGACCAUGAGCGCAAGCUUGAUUCAGUCAGAGUAAACAGAGCCGGCAAAUCUGGUGCCAGCCGCCGCGGCCAUACCACGGGCUCGAACUGAUUAAAUUCGGCGUAAAGCGUGAUUAAAGCUACCUUAAGCUGCAGUUAAACUGGAACUAAGCAGUAAAAUCCUUGAAUCCAGGAAACACAAGAACGAAAGUCACUGCAAAACAACCUACUUGACCUCACGAC